GUAGGGUGCAAGCGUUAAUCGGAAUUACUGGGCGUAAAGCGUGCGCAGGCGGUUAUGUAAGACAGUUGUGAAAUCCCCCGGGCUCAACCUGGGAACUGCAUCUGUGACUGCAUAGCUAGAGUACGGUAGAGGGGAUGGAAUUCCGCGUAGUAGCAGUGAAAUGCGUAGAUAUGCGGAGGAACACCGAUUGGCGAAGGCAAUCCCCUGGACCUGUACUGACGCUCAUGCACGAAAGCGUGGGGAGCAAACAGGAUUAGAUACCCUGGUAGUCCACGCCCCUAAACGAUGGUCAACUGGUUGUUGGUCUUCACUGACUCAGUAACGAAGCUAACGCGUGAAGUUGACCGCCUGGGAGUACGGCCGCAAGGUUG
rnacentral:rRNA from 1 species